rnacentral:rRNA from 1 species
CCCAGACUCCUACGGGAGGCAGCAGUGGGGAAUAUUGCACAAUGGGGGGAACCCUGAUGCAGCGACGCCGCGUGAGUGAAGAAGUAUUUCGGUAUGUAAAGCUCUAUCAGCAGGGAAGAUAAUGACGGUACCUGACUAAGAAGCCCCGGCUAACUACGUGCCAGCAGCCGCGGUAAUACGUAGGGGGCAAGCGUUAUCCGGAUUUACUGGGUGUAAAGGGUGCGUAGGUGGCAGGGCAAGUCAGAUGUGAAAGCCCGGGGCCCAACCCCGGUACUGCAUUUGAAACUGUCCGGCUGGAGUGCAGGAGAGGUAAGCGGAAUUCCUAGUGUAGCGGUGAAAUGCGUAGAUAUUAGGAGGAACACCAGUGGCGAAGGCGGCUUACUGGACUGUAACUGACACUGAGGCACGAAAGCGUGGGGAGCAAACAGGAUUAGAUACCCCCGUAA